UGAGGAAUAUUGGUCAAUGGGCGAGAGCCUGAACCAGCCAAGUAGCGUGAAGGAUGACUGCCCUAUGGGUUGUAAACUUCUUUUAUAAAGGAAUAAAGUCGGGUAUGGAUACCCGUUUGCAUGUACUUUAUGAAUAAGGAUCGGCUAACUCCGUGCCAGCAGCCGCGGUAAUACGGAGGAUCCGAGCGUUAUCCGGAUUUAUUGGGUUUAAAGGGAGCGUAGAUGGAUGUUUAAGUCAGUUGUGAAAGUU
rnacentral:rRNA from 1 species